AAUACAUUCAAAAAUGAAUUAAAGAAGCUAAUUUCUUACAUGCUAUAAACGUAAGAAAUAUAGGGCAAAGAUACUCGCGCUUGUGCAGAUGCAUGAGGCGUUUGAAAGAUCUCGUCGCAUGCAAGAAGUGGACGAGGUAUAUGGUUGGUGUCUAGCCUGAUUUCUUGUAAAUUAGGAUGUGCCGCAAACAAAGCGGAAGACUCAAUUAGCGCAGUCAAGCGCGCAGCCAACAAUUGAAAAUAUUAUGAAAAUAUUAACUGUAUGGCUACGUUUGAUAAUCGUAGCAUAUAAGAAAUAAACUCCUAGCGGUGGAUCACUAGGCUCGAAGAUCGAUGAAGAACGCAGUUAGCUGCGAUAAUUAGUGUGAAUUGCGGACACAUUGAACACAAAAAAUUCGAACGCACAUUGCGCCAUCGGGUCCUCUCCCGUUGGUACGUCUGGUUGAGGGUUGAAAUCUACAAAUUAAAGUUGUCGACUGACUGCUAAUAUAUACAUGCACUCAGUUUAGUAUGUUUAGGUGGCUUAUAGCUACCACAAAACACGUAAUGUGAUGUGGUGACAUAACGACAACGAUUUUGCAUGGCAAGUAUAGUCGUGCUGCGUUGUGCAAGUGGCCGAACUCUGUUAGGCAUCUGCACAUGAAACCAAGGUAGAUGCUUAGCGGGAUCGGUAUGACGUAUCUGUGAUACUAUAGCAAAAUCAUGUCUGUCAACCACGUUAUGAUAACCUCAACUCAGUCGUGAUACCCGCUGA
rnacentral:rRNA from 1 species